rnacentral:rRNA from 1 species
AUUGAACGCUGGCGGCAGGCCUAACACAUGCAAGUCGAACGAGUGGCGGACGGGUGAGUACUGUCUGGGAAACUGCCCGCUGGAGGGGGAUAACUACUGGAAUCGGUAGCUUAUACCGCAUACCAUCGGAUUUGCCCAGAUGGGAUUGGCUUGUAGGUGGGGUAACGGCUCACCUAGGGGACGAUCCCUGGCUGGUCUGAGAGGAUGACCAGCCACACGGGAACUGAGAAACGGUCCAGACUCGUACGGGAGGCAGCAGUGGGGAAUAUUGGACAAUGGGCGCAAGCCUGAUGCAGCCAUGCCGCGUGUAUGAAGAAGGCCUUCGGGUUGUAAAGUACUUUCAGCGGGGAGGCGGUACCCGCAGAAGAAGCACCGGCUAACUCCGUGCCAGCAGCCGCGGUAAUUC